AGAGGUUACGGAAAACGUGAACGCCGUUUUGAUUCCAUCUUAUAUUUAACCUAUGGUGAGAAGGCUGAUGAUGAAGAAGAUAGUGAUGCUGAUGAUAGAGAAGAACAAGAAGAAAGUGAUGGGGAUAACCCUGAAGCAGAAACUGAUGAAGAAGAGAUAGCGGAAGAAGUUCAUCGAGAGGAAGAAGGUGGAGUACAAUCACAGGACGAGUCUGACAUUUUAGCUGAAGGAGAACCUGACCCACGGUUUGGAAACUUUUUUGAAUCAGUGGAAACUGAGACGCUUACACUCCUUUUUGAAGCACCACCUGCGGUGAAUAUUGACGACGAUGAAGCAGCUGAUAGUGAAGUCGAAACUGAGAAACCAAUUCCCACUGGUGAAUAUUCAGAUUCUCCUGAAGAUACUGAUGAAGAAUGGCAUAACUGGCAGAAGAAGGAUGGCCGUGGAAGAAGCUUUAAAGGAAAAAGCAAGGCUGGUUAUGAUAAGCCUCCUUACUUAUGGUUGAUGCAAACAUUCACAAAGGGGGAUGAGUUCAAGGAUCAAUUACUGAGGUAUGUGUUGAAAACUCAGUAUGAUGUGAAGUUGAAUAAGUGGCAACCAACAAAGUAUGCAGUAAUAUGCACACACGAGAAGUGCAAAUGGAGAAUAUAUUGCUCACUAUUAGGAAAUGGAUGGUCAAAUUAUAUGAGGACAAUCAUAAUCAUCUGCCAACAGGAAGAGCAAGGAUGCUCCAGCAGGGAGCUAUUGCACGUUUGUUCAAAGAAGAGACAAGACGAAGACCUGAUAUAAGGAGCUUUGACAUCAAAGAUGAGCUGAUGCACAGGUACAACAUAUCAGUUUCUAUAUAUAAAUGCAGAAAAGCGAGAAGAAUUGCAUUAGAUAUGGUGUUAGAUACUCAGAAACAGCAGUUUGCAAAGCUGUGGGACUAUGAGGCUGAGUUAAAAAGAAGUAACAAAAAUGUUACUACGGAGAUUGUGACUGUCGAGAAGGAUAGAAUCAAUGUAUUUGAAAGCUUCUAUAUCUGCUUUGAACCACUAAGAAGAAUUUGGAAGAAAUGUUGCAGGCCUUUAAUAGGCCUUGAUGGUGCAUUCUUAAAGUGGGAGUUGAAGGGAGAGAUAUUAUCAGUAGUGGGUAGGGAUGCGGAAAACAGGAUUUAUCCGAUUGCUUGGGCUGUCGUAAGAGGAGAGAACAAGGAGUCUUGGGAAUGGUUUAUGAAGAAGUUGUCGGCUGACUUAGACUUGGGUGUAGGAGAUGGAAUUGCUUUUAUUUCAGACAAACAAAAGGGUUUGAAAGUGGCUCUUGCUACUGUUCUUCCAAACGCUGAGCACAAAAACUGUGCUAAGCAUGUCUAUGGCAACUGGAAAAAGAAAUAUGGAGAUCUUGAUUACAAACCUUUUUUUUUUGGAAUGUUGCUUACAGUAAAACAAAGGGAGAGUAUGAUUUGCACAUUGAAGCACUGAAAUCAUUUGAUAUCCACGCACAUGAUGAUUUGUUGGCAGCUGAUCCUACAACUUGGUGUCUUGCUUUCUUCUCGGGAAAUGCCAGAUCGGGUCAGGUUUGUAACAACUUAUCCGAGAGUUUCAACAAAACUAUCAAGGGAGCAAGAGAACUACCAUUGAUUAACAUGCUGGAAAGCAUUAGGAGACAAGCUAUGAUCCGUAUUUCUCGGAGACUUAAGAAAGCAAGAGCUUGCAUAAUGCCUUUCCCGAAGAAGGUUGCAGAUGUCCUAGAAUUAAAUCGAAGAGAGAGCAAGUAUUGUACUAUAUUUAUAAGUUCAGACAACUUGUUCGAAGUUCUGCUCCAUAGUUGUGGGUAUGAGGUCAGUGUUCGUCUCCGCCAUUGUGCUUGUCGUGAAUGGGACCUAACUGGGAUACCUUGUUGUCAUGCGAUAUGUGUCAUCAAUGACAACCACCAACAGCCAGAGAACCAUGUAGAUCCCUAUUACAAUACUGAUGUGUGGAUAGAGAACUACAGCGACAACAUCAAACCAGUUAAUGGAGAAAUAUUUUGGGCAAAAACCGGUAAAGAUCCAAUAGGAGUUCCAGGUUUUAGGAAGAUGUCAGGGAGACCGAAGAAAUAGAGGAUAAAAGCAGCUCAUGAGUCUCCUUCCAAACCAAAUAGAGUGACAAGAGAUGGUAGGACGAUAAUGUGUGGGAACUGUAAGAAGAUUGGACACAAUCGUGGAACAUGUAAAGAAGAUGCUUUUGUUGUCCAAGGUCCAGCACGCAAACGUGGAAGACCUCGUAAGAUACAAGUUGAUGGAUGCAUUAACCCACCAAAAAGGCGCAAGACUAGUCUAUCACAGCCCUCAAAUCAACAAUCUACUCCCAAUCAAUCACAAGCUUCAACUCAGCCUGCAAGCACUGCUCCUCAACCAACUACACGGAUACAAUCUCAGCCACCACCAUCUACUGUACCUACUGGUCGUGGACGCGGCCGUCGUGGACGACCUCCAGGAAGAGGACAAUCACGUAAAGUGACAGUGCCAAGAGGUGUUGGAGUGUACAUGUGCCCCUUCUCUGACCGUGUUUUUGAAUGUUUUGGUACUUCAAGAGAGGUUGGAGGAAGCUCUUCACAUGGUCCAAAGCCACGCAAGUAGGAAGCGUUUUCAAUAUAGUACUUUGUUUUGUUUGUCUGUAAACUCUACUUGUUUCUUUUUUUUAAUGUGUAAGCUCACUUUUA